AUAACAAUACCUGGCCUAAUUAGGUCGGGUAAUUGGCAAUGAGUACAAUUUAAAUCCCUUAAUCGAGGAUCAAUUGGAGGGCAAUGUCUGGUGCCAGCAGACCGCGGUCAAUUCCAGCUCCAAGAGCAUAUAUUAAAGUUGUUGCAGUUCACAAGCUCGUAGUUGGAUUUCUGGUUUAAUGCAGCUGGCCCGCGGCCACUAGGCUUGUGAGUGCCGGCGCGCGUUUACCAUCCUUCUAGAAAACGUUUCUGGCCAUUCACUUGGUUGGGAUCGCGAUCUAGAUCUUUUACUUUGAAAAAAUUUAGAGUGUUUAAAGCCUUAGAUGUUCUGGGCCGCACGCGCGCUACACUGAUCGGUUCAUCGAGCAUAAAACCUUGACCGGAUAGGUCUGGGUAAUCUUUUGAAAACCGGUCCGUAGCUGGAAUAGAUCAUUGCAAUUAUUGGAUUCUUCA
rnacentral:rRNA from 1 species